AUGAGUUUCUGCUAACUAUUUCCAACAUGGAGAUAAAUAACUACGCAAACAAAUUUAUAAAGUUAGACAUCAGACAACAUAGACGAUAAAAGGCAAACAACGGUAAAAGAAAGGAAGAAGGACGCCAUCGGCAUCCCCAAGCGCUUCGCUUGUUUUCUCGCUAUCCGGUGCAUUCUAAGAAAAUUGAGUAGUGUGAUGACUCCAUGCUCGAGUAUGGUAGUCUUGCCUUAAGACUCCAUUGGCUCCAAAGUGCAUAUGCAAAAAGAAAGAAAAGAAAAAAGAGAAUUAGAAGCGAAACAUUAUUUGUUAAAGACAUAUAAAGAUGAGGCAUACAAAAUAAGAUUGCAUCCUUCUUUAAUUUUGGUUCAAUCUACAUAUAAGCAAUUCUAUUUUUUACUGAACAUUGUAAGUACCUUUUAGCUGUUAAUAGAAAAUUAUCCCAAUGAACAAAUCACGCUUAUUUCCUUAAGGCCAUUAAAAUGAGCUAAACUUAAUUCUUAAAGCUAUAAGAGAUUAUGGCAGCAAAAAUUAUACGGUUAUUUAACAAAGACAACUAACAGUUUCAUCUAUAUCAUAAUUAGAAGAUCACACUACAUGUAAUAAAGAUAACAUUAACGCUACAAAUAGGAGGACACGCACACGAUCAGUCAUGAGAAACAGUGAAGAGCUUCUUGUAUUUCACAAACAAGCACACCCCAUAAGCAUGAGUUUCCAAUUAAGAAUCUUAACAAACUAACUAUCAAAGAUCCAUGAAAGUUUUACAAGUUGGUGUUUCAGGCACAAACAUGGUAACAAUGUAAGAAAGAUUCACAAGCUGGCAUUUCAGACAUAAAACACGAAGGGGAUAAAUGUUCAUAUGUUUAGGCCAAACAAUAACAGCAAGUGCGAUCCUUAGAUAAGUCUAUAUGAUGGCGAGAUUUCAACGAGACUAAACACUGUUAUUUAAUGGUCAUUUAGCUUAGAUCUUUACUAAGUUAUAACAUGAAGAGAACCUUAUGUCAAAAUCUUUAGUAGAUAUUUUGUUCAGAAAACCAAACUAACUUAUAGCCACAUUUUCUAUACUUCAAUCACACCAUCUUAAGAAAAGAGCUCGAAAACCAGUUCCGUUAAAACACAUAUGAAAUUCUCCAGUUAUAACAGGUCACUAACAGGUGCAAACACUAUAAACUAGCCUUCAGCCUAGUGUAACAAUAAGAGAGGAUCACAACUUGGCUUGAGUUGUAUUAUUUGCUUUCGACAGUAACUAAAAGGGACUGAUUGCGACUAGUUCAGAGCUAAUUAAAUUUUAUAAGCAUGGUCUCUAAGUUUCAAGCAAAAUCUAAGCCCGGGCGUCCUUAUAAUAAGGAAAUAUACAUCAGUUAACCUAUAAAAGUUGUUUCUUUUACAACAGAGCAUACGAGCCUUUCAUCCAUAUUAACUAAUCAGAAAUCGACAAGAAACACCCCAGAUAAUAAAUCAAAUAACAAAAAAAAUUAAGAGCUUAUUGCCAACUAGAUACUGAAACAUUAAAACACUAAAAUUCCAGAAACGAAACAAGAAGAAAGAUACCGACCUUUUGCGGCGCAGUGAACUGAGGCGCGGAUCUUAGAUGCACUAUUGAGCUCCGACCUCGAACCCGCUUCUACAAACAAUUUUAGAGUAGUAAAAGUAUAAGCUUCUGAAUGGCGGCCGAAGCUUAAGGAUUUUUUAACGGAGAGGUACGGCUGAAGCUGUCACCUUUGGGGGUCAAAGUGGGUGGCUCUGAUCUUAAGGUUAAAGGAGGGGGCUGAAGCUUUUAUGAAAUUUGUAGCUAAACGAAUAGUAAAAUUUGAGGGGUAAAGUGGUGGCCGGAAAAACCUCUCUCAAAUGAAUUUCAGAGCUGGUAUUUAUAGAUAGAAGUUAGGGUUCUUGAGAGGGAUUUUUCAAAUUCAGAUUUUGAAUUUCGGUCAACAUACCCUUUGAAUUUGAACGUUAGGGAUUUUGGACAGACUUUGCAGACUUCACGUGAUCUUAGAAGAGGGACAAAAGUCUUACUCGAAUCGGAACGUCAAAGCUCUGCCAUGGCUUAUGCAGAUGCUGAACUUUCACCAAAGAGGAAGAUAGGUGUUAGACCCCUAACAAAGCUGAUCGGCAAGCGGUACGGCAGUGGCGAGGAUUUUGGCAUGAUGGCUUUGCCAUUGGCCUAUGUGUGGAGGAAAAUCAACAUGCAAGACAAUGUGGGGGUGUUGUCAAUGGCAACAAACUGUUGCUAAGACAAGUGAGACGGACUACACUUGUAUUUGAGGGCUAAGGUGUGACGGAUUACACCAAAGCAAGAGUGGGCUGCGUACAAGCAAGGCCAAGACCUUGACGGAACUAGGCGGGCUGGAUGGGAGCUUGACAAG
rnacentral:lncRNA from 1 species